rnacentral:rRNA from 1 species
GACGAACGCUGGCGGCGUGCUUAACACAUGCAAGUGGAGCGACGAACCGGUCUUCGGACCGGGGCAGAGCCGCGAACGGGUGAGUAACACGUGGGUAACCCACCCCGAUGACCGGGACAACCCGAGGAAACUCGGGCUAAUACCGGAUGAGCUCUCAUCUCUUGAGAGAUGUGAGGAAAGAUAGCUUCGGCCUUCGCAUCGGGACGGGCCCGCGGCCCAUUAGCUUGUUGGUGGGGUAACGGCCACCAAGGCGACGAUGGGUAGCUGGUCUGAGAGGACGAUCAGCCACACUGGGACUGAGACACGGCCCAGACUCCUACGGGAGGCAGCAGGUGGGGAAUCUUGCACAAUGCGCGAAAGCGUGAUGCAGCAACGCCGCGUGGGGGAAGAA